CGAGGAGAGGUAGGAGAACUCAGUGUCCUUCGGUAGGUGAGGGCAUGGGUGGUCCCUGUCCUGGGGGAUGUUCUCUGAGCUUUGCUCAGAUAAAGGCCUGGGGCAGCAUGAGCAUUUAGGAUGUUCAGCAGCUGUGGCUGGCCAAGUCAUAGAUGAUUUGAAAAUGCAGCCAUCUGAGAGGUGGUACGAACUGAUUUCACUGGAACUGUCCAGAUUUGCAUCAGCUUAAAGAUCUAAUCCUUAGCUAUAUGACUGAGGGCGCUCCACGCUGGUUGUUGAAGAGAGAGGCCAUUUCAGGACACCUCUGCAUCCUUCACCAACUUCUGAUCUCUGGUAUGCACAGGAUGGAGGAAAGAAAAGGACAACUAAACAGUCCCCACAUGCCAUUAAGACAAUUAAGACAUGACAUUAAGGCAUUCCUAAAACAAGUGUUACUGGCUUCAAAAACUGUCCAGAAAUUUUCCUUAUGCAGGUCUUGCUUCACUUCUCACCUGCUUUUGUGUUCGCACCAGGCUGCAGCCUGCUAAGAGCGGCUUUCCACUUGCCCAGGGUUUUGGAGCUGUUUUUUGCAGCCGUUUUAUUAUCUCAGCCAGGUGGAAGAGAUCAUCAACAUUUUUUAAUCAGCUUUGGAAGUGGGUGUAGUUGAUCCAAGAAUGAAACACAUUCACGAACUGCUAAAUCCAAUCGCCUGUGGGUGACUGAUUACUUUAAGCUUUCCUAAUUGACUGACUGUGGGAUUUCUGCGAAGGAGUUAUUCUGGCACUCAGGAAGUCCACGCAACUGUUUCAAUCCUGGGAAUAACUUGCAAGUUGUGUACUAAACUGUGUUUUACUUCAAUGGUGCUGAGUGUUUGAGCGAAAUACACAGAUGGGUGUGCUAGAGCUGUGCUGGAUUAGAGUGGGUGGUUUUUUCUCUUGUUAGUAACAAUUUAGGUGAUGGGAGAAGUAAGUCUGUGGAACCCUCAAGAAGAGCUUGAGGAGUCUUCCCCACUACAAACCUCCUGUAAUACCUCCUGGCGCGGUACUACACAAUAUAUCCGCAUCCAUCUACAUGUGUAAGAAAUUUCUGCAUGUACACACAUGUGCAAAGCAAGAGCGUGGUGCUGGCUGCCCAGCACGCAGCGCUGAGCACCGCGCUGCUGCUCUCAGCCUCGGCUGCUGCUGCUGCCGCAUUUGACGCUGCACAACUGAAAAUGAACCCCUCGGGUGCUGAAGUACCAUUUCCACGACAACUCGCUGCUGACAGCGAGUGUUCGAGAGCAAAUCAUUAAUGCCAUUAUUGUUUGUUUUCAAUGCAGUAGAAAACUCCAGCUGGGGAUGGAUACGCAUAGUGCACAGGGAUGUUUUUGGUAUGAUACAGAGCAACCUGCCGGAAGGUGACUCUGGUCCAGGUGAAGGUCCUUGUUCUGCAGUCAUCGCCCUCGGCUUUUGGACAUGUCGUGUGAAGAACUGGGACCAAGGCUCUCACAGGAUCAAUGGAGAACAUCUUCAAACACACUUCUGUACCUGUUGAGGUUGUGCCAUGAGCAGUCAGAGCUCCUGGGAGCCUUCCCUGUGAAGCAUUCUUCCUGGUUCAGCCCCACUUCUCUGAUAACAAUAAGAAAUAUCUUGGAAAAUUUUUAAUUAAAGUAACUCCUUAACUCUUCAAAAGAACAUAAGUGAGUCACACCAAUCUGUCCCUGAGUUACAAGCUGGACUGAAGAGUUUGGGUUGGGCUGACAACUGAGUGAGAGGAACAGGGUGCCCAGGUAGCUGAGAAGGAAUAGAUGGAGAUGGGGGCCCUGGGAACACCUGCAGGAUCACACGUGUCAACUCUGAGCUGUGGUGUUGGGAUGAUGAUAAAUAAGGGGGAAAUAAGUCACUUGUGUUCCCCGUGCACCAGAGAAACAAACAUACAUAUCUCUAUUGCUCAUAUAUGUAGCGAACUAAAGAGACAAAAAGUUCAGGGCUCAACUUCAGAAGCACAGGGGAUAUCUUUUUGAUAAAGUAUUGCAUGAUUGCUUUUCCUGUAUUUGCCCAUCAGGAAUCCUCUGGCUGCUUUGUUUUGUCCAGGUCAACUUGUGAGCGUGUGACUUCAGUCACAGAAGAGCUUGGUGGUGCUGCAUGGAUAUUCAAUACUUUGCUGUGUAGAAAAUUACACACUCAUUUCCUACUAUUAUCAGCUAAGAUUCCUGGAAAAAAAAGAGAAAGUUGAAGAACUAUCUAUGAGCUCUUCAGCGGAAUUCAUCCCCUGACAUGAAAGCUCCUUUAUGCAGAUGUGGAGCUGGAUUUCUCAUGCAGUGCUAGGAGCUUUGCCUGCUGUGUUAGAGGGUGAUGAUUCUUCUUUUAGUUGUAACUUUUAUCAUUAUUUUUAAACAGUUUCUCAGCCGCUGCACCUUCAUGUCAUCUACCCUCAGGGUAUCUUUAAGUGAACCUUCUUGCAAGCCUGCAGUCCCUUUCUAAAGCGUAGAUGUAUUUUGGGCCAUGGAUGAAAUCACUACAUAUAACAAUCACAGAGUUAUGUUUGGUAACAUGAUUUAUCCAGGGCUGCUUUUACUUGUUCAUAGGGCUAGUGUGAUUAAGGAGAAAAGACAAACACACUGUUGACAUUGCAUCUUUCUGCUACCUUGACUUCAGCCACCUUAUUUUUGCCUCCAUCUUAGGUAAACGCAUCUGGCUGUCUUCAGCAUUGCCUUUGAAUAAGACCAUCAAUGGUCCCUGUGCAUCUAGCCUUUGCUGGCUGCAGAAAUUAUCCAAGGUGUAUCCCAGCUUGGGAUACAAGCCACAGCGGUAGCGCUCCUGGCUAGCCAGCAGCUGCCUGGGAGGGCAGUAGGAAGCCAUGAGGACUGGGGCUCCUGAGGGCUCUCAGACACUUUUCUCCUCAGGCUGGGGGUUGCUGUGUCUGUGCUGUACCUGUGGGAGCCCCGCCAGGCUCAGCCAGGGACACACCUCGGGGAUCCGGAGGGAUGGUGUUUCGGGGCUCGGAGCUGAGGAGGAGCAGAGCUUUUGCAGCGGGUGUGUUUUGUAUCGCAGCGAGCCUUCCGAUUGCUGCUUAUUUACCAAAGGGGUCGGGGCUGGGUGAAAGCAGCAAACAACAAAAAACUGUGGUUUAAAGCAGAAACACCUGUGAAAUCAUGCUAAGUUUGUGUAUAUAUUUUAACUGACAGCAGGGACGAAUUGUUUCUUCAGCUUGUAGAUUUGCAGUGGGUUGAAAAAUGACACAGUCUCCGUGCCCUCCUCCCAAAGUCAAUUGUUACUGAGAACUGAGCCAAGUGAAACAAGCUUUUGUUACUUGCAGUGGAAGAAGAAAAGCUCAACAAAAUGAUUUUGUCUUCCAAAAGCACAUACGGUCAAUUCUGGGCCCUGUGCUCAGAUUUGUAGGGCACUGACCAAAGCAACCAGACAAAGCAAUAAAUAAAGCAAGGGCCUUGUUUGGGCUGUCAGAAGAAUCACUCUGCAGGUUUUACUGAAAUUCGCUUUCUUUCCCAAGAAACCUGUAUAUUUUCAUGUGGAAAACUACAUUAUCUGGUAACUACUCCACACACAGUUACCAGCAGUGCCUGUGCUGGGUUUCGCCACCUAUGCUUGGCUCUUCGGUCCCUCAGCACGCUCACUCCUGAAGCAGACAGUCUCAAGUCAAGGUUCGUCUUACAAAGCCCUGGUUUAUUGUUUCUUUUUGACUGCUUCCUUCCUGUGCUCAUCCCAUAUUAUUCAUAGUUCCUAUUCUCCAGCUCUCGGUUAUGUCAGUUUCAUCCUUUUCCAUCAUUAAACCUCCCUCAUCCCCAACUCUUAAAUUACCACUGGUGGGAUUUUCCCAUUUUCCCAAGUCCUGCCUAUGCUGCGCUUCCCUGGCAGCCGUGCGCUUGUUACGGGACUGGAGAGACUCACGCUUGUCAUGAUUACAUGCAUCCAGACAGCUUAACAACACUAUCUAAUGCAGAUACAAACACACUUCAGGAAUAAAUGAAAAGCAGUUCUAUUUAAAUGAUUGAGGAAAUAAAGACAGCAUGCUAUUGGGUACUGGAACGCUUACUCGCUUUGUUCACAACGAGAGCAGUUGUUGAACAUCACGCAUGUUCCUAUCUUCUUGUUCUGAAGACGAGCCUGCCCCUCACGUGUGUGUGAGGAGCUGUACGUGGUGGUGUCCGUAGGCAUGGGACCGCUCAGGCAGCGCAAAGCAUUCACAUAACCUAAACAGCUUCCUGGCACAGGACUAGCCGCCAGAUGAUUUUGUAGCACUCAGUCUUAUUUCCUUGCUGGAAUAUAUAAAUCUUUUGUUCAUCAACCCUUUUCAUUAUUGGUUCUAAUUUUUAUUUACUGUCAAACAAACUUAUGCUAAUGCUAAGCCUUUCCUGCUUGUAUUAAAGAGGGAUUUCCAUGAACUUAUAAGCUUACCUUGUUGAAUCAGAAUGACAAGUUAGUUUAUCUCAUAAUCUUUAAAAUCUCAUUAUCAGCAGGAACAGCAUAUGGAAUCUUAAAUUGAGCAACUGGAGGUCCUAUUUGUGAACAAAUUGUGUCCAUUGUGAAGGCUGAGUCUGUGCAAAAAAGCAUGCCUCUCCCAUAUGUAACUGCAUGAAUUAGCGGUUAGCCCUGUAGAUGAGGGGAGCUGCAGUUGCUUAUUUACCUAGGGCAGUAUUGGGCUGGUGUGAUCUGAGCUGUGUUGCUUCAUUUGUUUCAUUUUGUGGCUUUUUCUUUUCUCUUUGGCCUCAGUGUUGCAUGUUGGGGCUUCAGUUCAAAUGAAACCCAGUUGAAGCAGCCUAGUUUCAUCUGUGUUCAUUUGUAGACAGUAUUUGAUAUAUAUGGUGCUGCUCUUUUUGUUUAUGUAUCAUUUCGUAAACCAAACCGGAUUGUUUUAAUGAAUUUGCUGAAGAGUGCAGUGAAGCAUUCAGCUCAGGAACUGUCCUCUCUGAUUCAUCGCUAUUUGA